UACAGAGGGUGCAAGCGUUGUUCGGAAUUAUUGGGCGUAAAGGGCGCGUAGGCGGUGCUGUAAGUCUGUGGUGAAAUCUCUGGGCUCAACUCAGAGUCUGCCAUAGAAACUGCAGUGCUGGAGUGUGGGAGAGGUGAGUGGAAUUCCUGGUGUAGCGGUGAAAUGCGCAGAUAUCAGGAAGAACACCCGUGGCUAAGGCGGCUCUCUAGUACGGUACUGACGCUGAGACGCGAAAGCGUGGGGAGCGAACAGG
rnacentral:rRNA from 1 species